rnacentral:rRNA from 1 species
UACGUAGGGUGCAGGCGUUAAUCGGAAUUACUGGGCGAAAAGCGUGCGCAGGCGGUUUCUUAAGUCAGAUGUGAAAGCCCCGGGCUUAACCUGGGAACUGCGUUUGAAACUGGGAGACUUGAGUGUGGCAGAGGGGGGUGGAAUUCCACGUGUAGCAGUGAAAUGCGUAGAUAUGUGGAGGAACACCGAUGGCGAAGGCAGCCCCCUGGGUUAACACUGACGCUCAUGCACGAAAGCGUGGGGAGCAAACAGG